CGCGGGGUGCGGCCGGUGUGAGCGAGCUGCCCCCGGGCUUGUGCAGCGCCGGCAGCCGGGGAGCGGGCCGCGGGCCGGGCCCCAGCCCCAGCCCGGGAAGGGUGCCCCGGCGGGUGGCUGCCUGCCUCCCUCGCGGUGUCUGGGCAGCGUGUCUCGGAGCAGGGCGAGAUCACGCUGGCCCGAGCCGAGCGAGGCUUGUUGCGGGCGUGCGGUGGGGUCCGUGGUCUCAGGUGACCCUUGGGUGGGUCUGGCGUACGGCAGCCGCAGCGGCGGGCACUUGCUCCGUGUGGUUGGCCGGACAUAACUGAAUCCGGCCCGUUAUUUUCCGGUCUGUACCGGACCCCGUGGCUCGCCUUUGGAGGGGUGGGUUCGGUUCAGCUGUUGGCACUGGCGGUGCUUGCUGUGUAAUGGGCGAGGUGCCAGGGCCCAAGGCAAUUAGGUGCCAGGGCUUAAGCAACUCCUUUCCAUUCAUAACUGGUACAACAAGCCUAGCGGUGGCGGGGCUAUGAACUGCCAAGCCUAGAGGUGCCGGGGGCUCACACCUGGCAAACCUUGGGACAAAUGGAGCACUGGAUGUAGGGUCUGAUCCUGAGACGUGGUGGGCAUGCGCAGUUUCCUGUGAUUUUUUUCGGAGGAAUGUUGGGUAGUUCAGCACCUCUCAUAAAAAGGCCCAGUUUAUGUUGGUGUCUUCUCAGUUUUCCCAGCUCUUGUUUGCCUGGUAUCCAAUGCUGUUUCCACUGAUUUCAGUGGAUUGGAUCCUCAGUGACCAGACCUGCUUAUCAAACCCAGGUCUCUUGCAUUGUAAAGCCGAAUGAACAUAGGGCUAGCCCAAAUAAGAGUCUGCUUUACUAGAGACAAAUAACCAUUAAUUCUGGUAUUCUUAAAUCCUUCUCGUUAAUGUUUAUUUCAAGUGCAUCUAAUAUUUUUGUGAAUAUUUGACAUUUCAGAUACAAUAAUAGUCUCUAUGGCUGCAAUUUACUCAGGAAUUCACCUGAAGCUGAAAAGUGCAAAAACCUCUUGGGAAGACAAAAUCAAAUUAGCUCACUUUGCAUGGAUUUCCCAUCAGUGCUUUCUUCCAAAUAAAGAACAAGUAUUACUUGAUUGGGUGAGCCAUGCAUUGGUUUCAUAUUACAACAAGAAACUUGAACUGGAGGAUGAAAUUGUUGAGAAACUUUGGACGUACCUGGAUAACAUCCUCCAUAGCAGAAAACUACAGAAUCUCUUAAAGGAUGGAAAGACAAUCAACCUCAGUUUUUUGAUUGCACAGGUCAUAAAUGAAAGGAUAUCCGAGUCCUGCAUUCAAAAAUCCCGCGGAAAUGGUGGUACAGUGCUAAGUUGUUGCAGGGGCAUCCUUUCCACUCCGCCUCUCUCCAUCAUCUAUACCACAAAAUAUGAGCUGAUGGUAAAUCUCCUAAGCAAGCUCUCCUGGCUGGCCUGUCAAUGGCUGACCUCAGAAGAUGCUGUGACCUCCCAGUUGUUUGAUGUCCUCCAGCUGACCUUUGCUCAGUACCUCCUGAUUCAGAGGCAACAGAUCAACCCAAAUCGUGUGUUUGGGCAAGUGACCAGCCACUUGUUUCAACCAUGUCUGCUCCUGAGGCAUUUGCUUAUGGCCAGAGCGUGGACACCAGCUGAUGAUGGCCGCGUACGUCAGCAUCUGAGCAGGGAAAUCCGAAACCAAGUAGAGGCUGUGCUACAGGCUGGGAUUUUCCAGCCUGAGCUCUUGUCCUCUUACAGAGGGGAGCUCCUGCCAGAAAGGGAACCGCAAGAGAAAAAGAAAAGGGCUCUUAAAACUAUUCUGAUGCCAGUCAAAACAGUGCUGUCCAAGUUCCAGGAUGCUAGCUUUUGUGAAUCAACGCUCCAGGUGAUCAUAGUAGCAAAUUCAGUACCUCUGCUUUAUAAGCUCUUUUUGGAUUCUUACUGUAAGGCAGAAAACCACAUGGUCUGUUUCCACAUGUUCACCAGGCUUUUUGGCUGUCUAAGGAUUUCUCACCUGCAGGAGGAUCUAUGGCAGGAGAUGCUCUCGCCAGUAGACUGGAGCACAGAACUGCUUGCUGUGGAACAGCUCCUGAACUUGGUGCUCAGCAACGAUAUCUAUAACGUUGCCGCUGACCGGAUCAGGCACAAAGAGACCCAGUUCCAGUUUUACCGCAAACUGGCAGAAAUGUUGGUGAAUCGCUCCCAGGCUUCCAUCCCAGCUUGGUUUAGGUGUCUCAAGACCUUGAUUUCGUUAAAUCAUUUAAUUGUCGAGCCUGAUCUGGAUGACCUUGUGGCCUCAGCUUGGAUCGAUGCAGAGGUCUCUGAGCCACGUACAAAGAAGCCUCAAGAGACUCUCAUAAAUGCCAUGUUUCAGACUUACACGAAGCUGCGACAGUUCCCUAAAUUCUUUGAAGAGGUUCUGUCCGUGAUCUGCCGUCCAGCUGAUGAUGAGUUAAGGCUGCCAGUCUUGUCUGCUGGGCUGACGGCAAAGCUUCGUGAGUGCCUCCUCGAGCUGCCACCCAACCAGAUUCUGGAUAUUUUGUUCCUCAUACUGGAGAAGUGUCAGACUCAAAUAAUUCCUGACGUUAAAGAUGAUUCUGACAUGGCACUGAAGCUGUUGUCUGUGAGCUCUGUGCUUCACACUUUUCUGUUCAACAUGAAGAGUUUGGAUAAUGUCACCCCAUUACCUGUUGUCCUUCGCACUCAGAGUCUGUUGGACAAGAUGCAGAAAGAGGUAAUCCAGCCAUUGCUAGACCUAUUGAAGGAUCAGUGGGCAGACGAAGAUAAACCAGGGCUUUGGCUAGAGAAGGUCAGUGAUUCCGCGCUCCUCCUUGUCUGCACAUGGGUGGAGGUUGACACUCUGCUUAGUAUAAACUGCAGCAAAUAUGUGUCUCGACUGGCUGAAGCAGCUGGUGGUGGUACUGACUGUGCUGCAGAGAGCUGGGACUUCUCAGCCCUUCUCCCUGGCGUGGAUAGCCAGUGUUGGAAGAGGGUAGUGAGAUUCUCAAGUAAUUUCUGCUCACCUAGUAAAUAUUGCUUAGAACUGCUCAUGCUUCAGAAAAUAAAAAAGAUCUUAAUGCAAACCAGUUUUCAGACUGAGGCUGAUCUUCACACCUUGCAGCAUGCCGCAGCUUUCAUCCUUCAUUCUGGAAGAUCAAGCAUGAGCAUGGAAGAGUCCGAACCUUGGAAUGGCAACAUCAGUGCAAUAAAUGCUCUCACCUACCCCGCUGCACACUGGUACCUUGUAGUCUCAAAUCUAACAAUCCUGAUUCCUCAUCUUUCUCUGAAAGAUGUAGAGUAUGUUGCUGAUGUGCUUCUGAAGACUUUACCAUCAACUAAAGCUCCGGGAGUUUCUGCAGAUCAGGAUUCCUUCAUCACAGCUGAAAAGGUUUCUAAAGCCUUGCUGCAUAGUACUUUUCUUCCAGAAAUUAAGGUGCUUCACUGUGCUUUUAUAAGCCGCAUUAUUCAGCAGUGCUCUAGUGUGUUUUGUUCUGCUACUCAGGGCAUCGUGGAUCAGCCUAUUCAACAGCUGUCUGCAGUUAAUAUACCAUGGCAUGAGGAAGUCCUCUCAUCUUGCAAGAUGGUUGGCAUGGGGGAGGCACAGUCAGAAAACAAUCAAUCAAAGGCUGAACCCUUCAUUUGCUGGACAACAAUGGAAAAAAUUGCUCAACAUAUAUUGUUGUUAACAAGGACCGGUUCCCCCAUUACUUUGGAAGAAGACCAGAUAGAAAGCUUUCUGCAUUUACUAGAGAUGAUUUCUGCAUUGAAACUUGACAGUCUUUUUCCUUCAGACCAUACCCGUUGUUUUCUCUUGCUGCUGUCCUUGGUAGCCAAUACCAGAGCUAACAUCUCUUGCAGUAAGUUGCUAUCAUUGAAGUUUCUAAUUACCUGCUUCCGCCUCCUAACAUGCCUACAGACUGGCAGAAGUGUCAACUCUAUCUUUAAAGUUUUUCAUGCCAGUGAUGCUCUUGAGGCUGUCAUGACCGCCCUGUUUGCAGCCAGCAAGUGCUUUGCUGAUGUUUUGACCACUCCCGCCUGGGCAGAAUUUCUCCAGGUGAUCCAAACCUUUUUGGAAUGCUUUUUUCAGAUGAUUGUCGAAAAGAGGCAGAGCCUGAAACUCAAUUUGGAAAAGUUCUCUUUUUUCCUAGCGAGCUGCAAACCAUAUGUUGAUGCAGACAGAGGCAAGCCCUGGAACACUGCAGUCAAUCAGCUGCUCUUAGUGCCGCUAACCACACUCUGCCAUGUUCUGACUCUGUACCUCCAGCAGCAGCCAGAGAAGAAACAACAACUGACAGAAAUGCUGUCUGCUUUGUUGGAGCCAACAGUCCUCCAGACAGGAACAGCCAUCCAGCUCUGCCUUAGAAACCUCACCAAAGACCAGCCUUUGCCUUUGGCAUUCAUCCCAGCUGUCUCAACUCUACUGAAAGCAGAUCUGAGCUACAUGUGCACUGGUCGCUUUAUGAAAAUGGAAGGCAAGCAGGAGAAUCCUAAAGACCCAGGAAAAUAUCGGGAGUAUUCCCACACUGAACUGUACCAAAAGUUUUACACUCAAGUACUGAGAGAGCUGACCUCUGUGGAAGGCCAUCUCCAGUUCUUUCACUCUGCCUUGCAGUUUUUAACUGUUUUCUGCUCAGUAACAGAUCUGUAUCCUGGAGAAGAGACUGCUCUCACUGUGUUCCAUGCUGUAAAAAAACUCCUUGCUGGUCCUGGCACCACAGUCCAGGUGAUUCAAGAUCUAGAAAUGCAGCUGACAGAGUUGAUGACUCAGCUGGUGGAGAGCUGCACGACUGAGGAGUUCUGUGUCAUGAUGAGGCUGGUGCUCCAAGGACUUGAAGUUAGCAAUAUUUGGAAACAAAAUCCUAAAGAAGUAUUGUCAGCUGUUACGCUAACCAAAUUGCUGGUCAACUGCCCGUUAACUGGAGAGAAAGAGAAAGCUUUCUGGUUUACCAGCCCACAGAUAAUCACAGCUUUAGUUAUUCAAACCAAAGAGGCUUGUCGGGAUCAAUCGCUGAUUCCCACCAUUGUUGUUCCUAUACUGGAGACAGUAGCAGCCCUGCUGAGGCAAGGAGAAGAGAUUCUCUCCAAUCCCCAUCACGUGAGCCUGGCAUUCAGCAUUCUGCUGACUGUCCCUCUGGAUCAUUUGAAGAUGGAGGAGUAUGGGAGCAUCUUCCUGGGAAUUCAUGAAGUGCUGUUUUCCAUACUGCAGUGUCACCCUAAGGUGAUGCUAAAAGCAGCGCCAUCUUUCCUGAACAGCUUCAAUAGGCUGGUUGUUUCUGUUAUGCACGAGGGGCGACAGAAAGGAGACAGAGGGAGCACAGAUGAGUUUGGAGUUGUAUUGAAAUGUGCACACUUGGUGGAAAGGAUGUAUAGUCACAUUGCUGCAAAAACAGAGGAGUUCACAGUGUUUUCUGUCUUUAUAGUGGCCCAAUACGUGAUUGAACUGCAGAAGGACACACAGCUGCUCCAUAUCCUGCCUACUUACCCUAAUUAUUGAUGUCCUGGUUAUUGAAUUUGCCCCAGCUAAGGCUCUAGAGAGUACUCGUGCUAAGGGCUGUCUCACAGCAAACUCUUUCCAAGGACUGCAUUGUGUACGAGCCUCUCUGGGCCUGAUCCAUUGAUAUUCAGGUGACCUUACUUCCAGCUGUAAAGAAACAUCUAACUGAGGGAAUGUAUCACAUCCUAGACCUUUGCAUUGAACGCGACAUCAAGUUCUUAAACGCAUCGCUACAG